UGAGUAACCUGCCCCUAACUCUGGGAUAAGCCUGGGAAACUGGGUCUAAUACCGGAUAUGACUCCUCAUCGCAUGGUGGGGGGUGGAAAGCUUUAUUGUGGUUUUGGAUGGACUCGCGGCCUAUCAGCUUGUUGGUGAGGUAAUGGCUAACCAAGGCGACGACGGGUAGCCGGCCUGAGAGGGUGACCGGCCACACUGGGACUGAGACACGGCCCAGACUCCUACGGGAGGCAG
rnacentral:rRNA from 1 species